GGGUUUCCACACGUUUUGGGCAGCCUCCUUCUCUUCUCUUCUUCAUCCUCUUGCUCUUGGUGUUUGUGAACCAUUAGAGGAGUGACAUUUGUGACUNGUUUUGGCCAGCCUCCUUCUCUUCUCUUCUUCAUCCUCUUGCUCUUGGUGUUUGUGAACCAUUAGAGGAGUGACAUUUGUGACUCUAAGCUUUCUAAAGUCAUUAUAAGGAGGAUUUGGGAUUGUUAUUGCUACAUAACAAUCAAGGUAUGAUCUAAACCCUAAUUCAGAUGUUAUAUUGGUUAUAAUAUACUAGAUCUAGGGUUUAUAGUCUUGGAUGAAUUGCAUGUACAAUAGAAAAACCUAGAUCCAAGCAUUAGGGUUUGUAUGAGCACAUAGGAUGUUCUUAUGAANNN
rnacentral:lncRNA from 1 species